rnacentral:lncRNA from 1 species
CUGUCUUCCUAUGUGAUUCUCUUCAAAGGUUCAAAUGUAGAAUGGAGACGGAUUGGGGAAAAGAUAGAAAUAACUUGCUCCACUGAUAAACCAAAUCAACAUGCAGUGUUUCUUUACAAGAGCUACCACCAACGCCAGUCGCUGUUCUAUCUCCUUAAAGAGGGGGUUCCGAGUCGCACGGUAGCCUACAAGGACAAGGUUGAAGUUACAGGCUUCAACAAGCUGAGGGCCACAAUUAGCAACCUAACCGUAGAUGACACUGGAGUUUUCUGGUGCCAGUACCUGAGACAUGUUAAAGAAAUAAGCCAUGCAACUGAAAACAAAGAGGGUGGAACAUUGUUGGUGGUCAAUGGCCCGGAGAAGGUGUGCCCCACACAUGGGCCAUACGCAACCACCAGCACAGAGGAGUCCAGUCAGACGGCCACCUUGUGGAUCGUGGGUGCUGUCACUUUCUGCUCACUGGUUCUGCUGGUGCUCAUUAUCCUGCUCAUCUUGGUGAAGAGGUGCAAUGGAAAGAACAGGUGUCAUCCCCAGUCUGCCGUUGGACCCCCAGCACAUUGCCCUGAUUCUGUUUAUGAGCAGAUGAGGCCCCAGAGGGCCACCUCUAUGUCUCACUCCUCUGCCCAGGUACUCAACAACUCUGCCUACUUGCUUCACCCAAAUAACCCACAUCCUACCACCCCCCUUCAGUAAGAAUCAACACUGGCACGCCAGCUUCAUAUUUUCAUUUGACAAGUGCACUGAAAUUCAUUAGCCUGUGUGUACAAACUUGCUUGCUUGAAAAAUUAAACCGGUUUGAAUUUAUUUAAUUUAUGUUUUGAAUGAUGUUUAAAUCCAAUGUGUGAAGCAUUUUGACGUAUCAUUCACUCGUGUAACACAAACAUUUUGGUCAUUGAGAUCGAAUGCAGCAUCAGAUUGUGAAAUGUUCGUUUAAGACCGUAGUGAUCCAUGGAGCAAAGGGUCAUGUAGUUAUUAACCUUUCAUAGGAAUGAAUAUACUCAGCCAAUUCUCCUUUGGCUGUCUUUCCAGAAACUGCUUUCUUUUUAUACAGGGUAGAUCAAACAAAACUAACAUACAGUACUUCAUCUGUGUGUACCUGUAACAUAUAUGAGGUAGUUGUAAGAGGUUUGCCACUUUAUAAUACAAAAGUGAUUUUAAUAUGCACAAAAUGUAAUAUGAUCAGAUGUAUAUAACUGUUAUGCACCAA